rnacentral:lncRNA from 1 species
GAAACUUCAGAUCGAAAUGCUUGUCUCUGAAUGUAGAUUUUAAUCUUUUCUGUAAAAGGAAAAAAGAAUGAGAAGUAUAUAUAUAUAUAUUUGUUGAAGUUGUGAGGUCGGCAUUUUCUUCCCAGGUUAGCAAGUUAAGGAGAAGAUUAAUAAAUGAAAAAUAGACAAGGUCGGACUAACGUUUCAGGUCGGAUAGGACAUGAGGUCAGAGGAUACACGAUUCAUAGCCAUCCAACUCUGUUGCAGAGCAACGCCCCUCAAGUAUCAGAGCAACCUGGAGAUAAUAGGAAAUAAUCAAAUAUCCAGGCAAGGUGGAUAAGCUCCGACGCGGUAUGCCGUCCAGCUCAAAGACAAGGUGACGAUCCAAUGUCGCGUCCAGCCAUGGGUGUUACCGGCGAAGCCC